UAAUACGAAGGGGGCUAGCGUUGUUCGGAUUUACUGGGCGUAAAGCGUACGUAGGCGGACCGUUAAGUCGGAGGUGAAAUCCUGGGGCUCAACCCCAGAACUGCCUUCGAUACUGGCGGUCUCGAGUCCGGGAGAGGUGAGUGGAACUGCCAGUGUAGAGGUGAAAUUCGUAGAUAUUGGCAAGAACACCAGUGGCGAAGGCGGCUCACUGGCCCGGUACUGACGCUGAGGUACGAAAGCGUGGGGAGCAAACAGGAUUAGAUACCCUGGUAGUCCACGCUGUAAACGAUGGAAGCCAGCCGUCGGGCAGCAUGCUGUUCGGUGGCGCAGCUAACGCUUUGAGCUUCCCGCCUGGGGAGUACGGUCGCAAGAUUAAAACUCAAAUGAAUUGACGG
rnacentral:rRNA from 1 species